CGGGGAACUCGGAGACAGGUGCUGCAUGGCUGUCGUCAGCUCGUGUCGUGAGAUGUUGGUUAAGUCCCGCAACGAGCGCAACCCUUGUCUUUAAUUGCCAGCAUUCAGUUGGGCACUUUAAAGAGACUGCCGGUGUUAAGCGGAGGAAGGUGGGGAUGACGUCAAGUCCUCAUGGCCUUUAUGCCCAGGGCUACACACGUGCUACAAUGGGUGGUACAAAGAGAUGCCAACUCGCGAGAGCGCGCCAAUCUCAGAAAGCCAUCCUCAGUUCGGAUUGGAGUCUGCAACUCGACUCCAUGAAGUUGGAAUCGCUAGUAAUCGCGGAUCAGCACGCCGCGGUGAAUACGUUCCCGGGCCUU
rnacentral:rRNA from 1 species